UAAGGAAUAUUGGUCAAUGGACGCAAGUCUGAACCAGCCAUGCCGCGUGAAGGAUGAAGGUCCUCUGGAUUGUAAACUUCUUUUAUCUGGGACGAAAACGGGAUUUUUAUCUCAAUUGACGGUACCAGAGGAAUAAGCACCGGCUAACUCCGUGCCAGCAGCCGCGGUAAUACGGAGGGUGCGAGCGUUAUCCGGAUUUACUGGGUUUAAAGGGUGCGUAGGUGGGCUUAUAAGUCAGUGGUGAAAUCUCCGAGCUUAACUUGGAAACUGCCGUUGAUACUAUAGGUCUUGAAUUAUCUGGAGGUAAGCGGAAUAUGUCAUGUAGCGGUGAAUUGCUUAGAUAUGACAUAGAACACCAAUUGCGAAGGCAGCUUACUACAUAUAAAUUGACGCUGAGGCACGAAAGCGUGGGGAUCAAACA
rnacentral:rRNA from 1 species